CCCAUGAGGAGGUGUAGACACACACACUCAUUACAGGUGUCCAUCACACACAAGGUUCCCCACCCUUCACCCCAAUAUGGGGAAAAGUCAAAUGUUUGGUCAGUAAACAAAGAAGGCGUCUACUGAAUGACAGCAAACAGAGAUCUUGACAAUUGUGAGAAUAGGAAAAUUGCGGAACUUGUCGUCAUUAUACAAAGAAUUUUGUUUAUGGAAUGAAGCUUCCCGCUCAGGACAGGACUGGGGGUGGCACGUCUCUACAGCUUCACGUUUAUGAACAGAAUACCAGUACAAUGUAGACUGACACAGAUAGGAUAGUACAAAGGGAUGCUAUGACUGUAGAUGCUGGUAACAGUUUAUAGGUUUUUCAGAGCCUCGGGAAAGUUGGAUGACUCCCUCUCCUCCACACUGGCCAUGUAAAGCCAGCCAUUAUCCAGUAUCUGCUUAGAAGAAACUGGACAGGACAGAAGGAUAGACUAAAGGCUCCACUGGGGGUCCAGGAGCAGAGACCUCAAGGAUGUGUCAUGGUGCUAGGAGGAUCACACUGACAGCCCUGUGGCCCCUAUGGCCCUGCAACAGGAAGCUGAGCAAUAAACCUCAUAUCAAAUACAUAUAUUUCAUUGACAACAUAGUUCCAGGAGUCCAACCCAGAGAACCAGGUGUUAUGUGCCUUCAGAGGUCCACACCGGGGCGUCAGUGAAGUCUGUGCCUCUAGAGGUCUCCACCAGAUGUUAGCAGGGACUGUGCCUCCAGAGGUCCCCACCGGGCUUCAGUGAGGUCCGUGUAUCCAGAGAUCACCACAGGCAUCAGUGAGGUCUGUGGCUCCAGAGGUCCCCACUGGAUGUUAGCAAGGUCUAUGCGUCCAGGAGGUCCCCACCGGGCUUCAGUGAGGUCUGUGUAUCCAGAGAUCACCACAGGCAUCAGUGAGGUCUGUGGCUCCAGAGGUCCCCACUGGAUGUUAGCAAGGUCUAUGCGUCCAGGAGGUCCCCACCGGGCUUCAGUGAGGUCCGUGUAUCCAGAGAUCACCACAGGCAUCAGUGAGGUCUGUGCCUUCAGAGGCCCCCACUGGAUGUCAGCAAGGUCUAUGCGUCCAGAGGUCCCCACCAGGCUUCAGUGAGGUCCGUGUAUCCAGAGAUCACCACAGGCAU